GUCUUUUUGUUAAAAAUUAAAAGUCCAAUCUGCUCACUGAGUUUUAAAGAGCCGCAGUAUUUUGACUGUGCAAAGGUAGCAUAAUCAAUAGUUCUUUAAUUGGGAACUUGUAUGAAAGAUUAGAUGAAAAUUAUAUUUUCUUUAUUUUAAUAAGUUGAAUUUUAAUUUUAAGUGAAAAUGCUUAAUUGAUUUUAAAAGACGAGAAGACCCUAUAGAUUUUUAUUAUAUAAAUAAAUAUUAUAUUUUUAUUUAAAAGUAUAAUUUAAUUGGGGCGAUUUUGUAAUAUAUAAAACUUAUAUUUUAUUAAACCAUAAAUAAUUGAAUUUUUUGAUCUAAAUUUUUUAAAGGAAAGAUUAAAUUACCUUAGGGAUAACAGCGUUAUUUUAUUUAAGAGUUCAUAUCUAUAAUAAAGUUUGCGACCUCGAUGUUGAAUUAAGAUUAUAUAUUGGAGUAGAAAUUAAUAUAAUUAGUCUGUUCGACUAUUAAAUUCU
rnacentral:rRNA from 1 species